rnacentral:rRNA from 1 species
GACGAACGCUGGCGGCGUGCCUAAUACAUGCAAGUCGAACGCUUCUUUCCUCCCGAGUGCUUGCACUCAAUUGGAAAGAGGAGUGGCGGACGGGUGAGUAACACGUGGGUAACCUACCCAUCAGAGGGGGAUAACACUUGGAAACAGGUGCUAAUACCGCCUAACAGUUUAUGCCGCAUGGCAUAAGAGUGAAAGGCGCUUUCGGGUGUCGCUGAUGGAUGGACCCGCGGUGCAUUAGCUAGUUGGUGAGGUAACGGCUCACCAAGGCCACGAUGCAUAGCCGACCUGAGAGGGUGAUCGGCCACACUGGGACUGAGACACGGCCCAGACUCCUACGGGAGGCAGCAGUAGGGAAUCUUCGGCAAUGGACGAAAGUCUGACCGAGCAACGCCGCGUGAGUGAAGAAGGUGUUCGGAUCGUAAAACUCUGUUGUUAGAGAAGAACAAGGACGUUAGUAACUGAACGUCCCCUGACGGUAUCUAACCAGAAAGCCACGGCUAACUACGUG